GUGGGGAAUCUUCCGCAAUGGACGAAAGUCUGACGGAGCGACGCCGCGUGAGUGAUGAAGGCCCUUGGGUCGUAAAGCUCUGUCAUCAGGGACGAACGGUCACGUCAGGAAAUGGGCGUGAAUUGACGGUACCUGAGAAGGAAGCCACGGCUAACUACGUGCCAGCAGCCGCGGUAAUACGUAGGUGGCAAGCGUUGUCCGGAAUUAUUGGGCGUAAAGCGCGCGCAGGUGGGAUCUUAAGUCCAUUUUGAAAGUUCGGAGCUCAACUCCGUGAUGGGAUGGAAACUGGGAUUCUUGAGUACCGGAGAGGAAAGCGGAAUUCCCCGUGUAGCGGUGAAAUGCGUAGAUAUGGGGAGGAACACCAGUGGCGAAGGCGGCUUUCUGGACGGUGUCUGACACUGAGGCGCGAAAGCUAGGGGAGCGAACGGGAUUAGAAACCCGUGUAGUCC
rnacentral:rRNA from 1 species